GACGAACGCUGGCGGCGUGCUUAACACAUGCAAGUCGAACGGAAAGGCCCUGCUUUUGUGGGGUGCUCGAGUGGCGAACGGGUGAGUAACACGUGAGUAACCUGCCCUUGACUUUGGGAUAACUUCAGGAAACUGGGGCUAAUACCGGAUAGGAGCUCCUGCUGCAUGGUGGGGGUUGGAAAGUUUCGGCGGUUGGGGAUGGACUCGCGGCUUAUCAGCUUGUUGGUGGGGUAGUGGCUUACCAAGGCUUUGACGGGUAGCCGGCCUGAGAGGGUGGCCGGCCACAUUGGGACUGAGAUACGGCCCAGACUCCUACGGGAGGCAGCAGUGGGGAAUAUUGCACAAUGGGCGGAAGCCUGAGGCAGCAACGCCGCGUGCGGGAUGACGGCCUUCGGGUUGUAAACCGCUUUCGCCUGUGACGAAGCGUGAGUGACGGUAAUGGGUAAAGAAGCACCGGCUAACUACGUG
rnacentral:rRNA from 1 species